UGGCGACCGGCGCACGGGUGCGUAACGCGUAUGUAACCUACCUAUAACAGGGGCAUAACACUGAGAAAUUGGUACUAAUUCCCCAUAAUAUUCGGGAGAGGCAUCUCUCCGGGUUGAAAACUCCGGUGGUUAUAGAUGGACAUGCGUUGUAUUAGCUAGUUGGUGAGGUAACGGCUCACCAAGGCAACGAUACAUAGGGGGACUGAGAGGUUAACCCCCCACACUGGUACUGAGACACGGACCAGACUCCUACGGGAGGCAGCAUG
rnacentral:rRNA from 1 species